rnacentral:lncRNA from 1 species
GGAAGUACUACCCCUAAGACAAAUGCAAGAUGUCAACUGUUGCAUUGGUAUAUGUUUGAGGAGGAAGAAGUCGUAGCAAAAGGGAAGAUUGCCACAACAGAUCCAAGUGCAAAGGUGCAUCACUUGCCACUCGGUCGAGACUGUUGAAAGGUUUGGGCUGAGGAAGUCUAUAUGGGUAAUUUGACCCUAUACAGACCCACAGAUGAAUUCCGCACUCUUAGUGAAGUCAUGGGAAGUACUGUUGCUUGGCCAAAGAGUAGUAUUAGACUUCUUGAUUAAGGUAUUAGACUCUUAGUGGCAAUGGUAUUGAUCAAGUAACAUGCGACGAUUUCAAGUUUAAGUUUCGAUUUUUGUAGUUUCCUAAUUACAUUUUGGUAGUAAAUGUUUGGAGACUCUUAAUUUUAUUUUGGAAGAGAU